rnacentral:lncRNA from 1 species
UCAUCUGUCCAGUUAAUGGGAUAAGCUGAUCGGUUCAGCUCUGGCCUGUGAAUUCUAAGGUUAAUUAGCUUUUGGUGUUGCUGUUUUUCCAACACCUGUUGAAUAAAUUUUGCUUGUAUUACAAAGUCAGCUUUAAAAGUAAAUAAUGAGAUGCUUCUUGCGUUUCUUAGAUGGAGGUUUGUUUCAUGCCUUUUCAGUAUAAUAUAUCUCAUUCUCCCAGAUCUUUGUGUUUGCUGUUUUUCCAACACCUGUUGAAUAAAUUUUGCUUGUAUUACAAAGUCAGCUUUAAAAGUAAAUAAUGAGAUGCUUCUUGCGUUUCUUAGAUGGAGGUUCGUUUCAUGCCUUUUCAGUAUAAUAUAUCUCAUUCUCCCAGAUCUUUGUGUAGCAAUGUUCAAAUGAUCUUAAGGACCUUUUUUUAUGAGAAGUUUAAG